ACAGUAUGCUUCAUUAUAUUCUAUCUCACCGCAGAGAUUAUGUUGUUGUAGCCUAUUUGAAAAGGUUGGGACAGCGCAUAGACACGUUUCGAUUAGAGGGGACGCAGAUGGUGGAGGAGACCUACGGGCAUUCUGUCACGAGUUUGCAGUAACAAUAGGACGUAUAUUUAUGGCAGCUGGAGUCCGUAGCCUACACGCGCUUGUAUACAAAAUACAGACAUCUGCAUACUAGUAAUUCCUCAUGCCAUCCAAACACUCCUUUGUCCAGUCUUUUUAUUUACUCUCUUUUAACCGCCCAUCAGAGGCAGCUGCUCGCCAUUUACCAGACCUCUGCUCAAGCAACGUGACGCACUCCACAGCACGUCCUCAUUUUAGAAGAGAUUGACGCAUGGAGGAUCGGACAGCUCGAGCGUUUCAUCGCACCCUUACUGACUGACACAGAUGCUGCGAGACUGGUGCAUUGUGGACCGGCGGUCAAAUUUACAUCAUUGCAAAAGUGGCCAAACCCACAGCCCAGCUGGCAGGAUGCAAGUCCCCAUGACGACUGGGGUGCCCUGGUGUCCCUGACGGACUGGUGAAUACAGGAGUAGGGAGAGACAGAUGGGUAUGUGUCCAGUAUAUCCUCAUACUGUGGAGGGGGUUCUUGUAAAGGCAGAGGUUUAACAGCCGUUAUUGAUGGUAAUUCUGUUUUGUGUGCUCCAUUCCUUGAUAUUUUUUUAUUGACUCUUGUUGGUAUUAGUGGGGGCUGCCGUAACAAGUUAUUCAUUUAAAUGAGGUUAGUUCAAGGUAAAACAUGUCAAAUAAGUUAAAAGGUAAUUCAGGUCCAUUAGAUACUGUUCCUCAACGCUUAUGAUUCUUGGUGAUUUUGCAGCUUAAUUUAGUAACUCUUCAUAGUAUCUAUUGGCAGUGGUCAAGGCCAAUGGUCCAGUACGUCCUUGGUAGGGUUUUGGGGACAGGUGUUCCAGGGGGUUGCGUUCCACUUUCUGCUGCUCUCUGCUCUGUGUUUAUCUCCAGAUAUAUCCUGAGGAAGAUGCUGGGAAGGUGCCAGCCCUCAGAGCCUAUUUAGAUGAGUCCACAACAUGUCCUGACUGACAAGGCUGUCAACAAAGCUGUUUUUAAACAGUUGUCAACGUGGUUCAUCCUUACCGAACUGGGACGGGAACUGGGACCUAUGGCUUUCACCCACUGAGAAAGGGGCACAACAUUGGCAUUCACUUACUGCUGAUGGGGCACAGCCACACUUCUUUAGUUAUCAAUAUGUGUUAGAAGUGUAUCACCUUGCUGUGAUUAUUUGGAUAUUUUACUUAGCCUACUUAAAAUGGGAUUAUCAUUGGCACAUUGCUGGUUCCCCUUUAACCUUUUACUGCAAUGAGCAAAAUCAGUCAGUGUUUCUUGGUUGUCUUAACCUCUCUGGGAGAUGUGUAGCAUCCCACCUCGCCAACAGCCAGUGACAGUGCAGGGUGCCAAAUUCAAAACAACAAAAAUCUCAAUUAAAAUUCCUCAAAGCAUACAAGUAUUUUACACCAUUUUAAAGAUAAAAUUCUCGAUAAUCCAGCCACAGUGUCGGAUAAAAAAAAUGCUUUACAGCAAAAGUACCACAAACGAUUGUUAGGUCACCACCAACUCACAGAAACACAGCCAUUUUUCCAGCCAAAGAGAGGAGUCACAAAAAGCAUGAGAAAAUUAAUCACUAACCUUUGAGCUUCAUCAGAUGACACUCAUAGGACUUCAUGUUACAUACUACAUGUAUGUUUUGUUCGAUAAAGUGCAUAUUUAUACUUUAAAAAAUCUCAUUUUACAUUGGCGCGUUACGUUCAGUAGUAAAACAUGCAGUGAUUGUGCAGAGAGCCACAUCUAUUUACAGAAAUACAUUAUAAAUGUUGAUGAAAAUACAAGUGUUAUACAUGGAAUUUGAGAUACUUCUCCUUAAUGCAACCGCUGUGUCAGAUAAUUUUUUUUUAAACGUUAAGGAAAAAGCAAACCAUGCAAUAAUCUGAGUACAGCGUUCAGACAACAAAGCAGCCAAAAAUAUAUCCGCCAUAUUGUGUAGUCAACAUUAGUCAGAAAUAGCAUUAGAAAUAUUCACUUUGAUCUUCAUCAGAAUGCACACCCAGGAAUCCCAGUUCCACGAUAAAUGUUUGAUUUGUUCGAUAAUGUCCAUUUAUGUCCAAAUAGCUUCUUUUGUUAGCGCGUUUGGUAAACCAAUCCAAACGUGCGUUCAGGCAGGUCCAGCCGAAUGGUGGACAUAAAGUUAUUACAUCCCGUAGAAACUUGUCAAACUAAGUAUAGAAUCAAUCUUUAGGAUGUUUUUAUCAUAAAUGUUCCAACCAGAGAACUCCUAUGUCUGUAGAAAAGCAAUAGAACGAGAGCUAACUCUCCCGUGACCGCGACUCAGAGCCUGUGGCACUCUGGCAGACAACUGUCUCAAUCAGCUCUCAUUCACCCCCACUUCACAGUAGAAGCCUGAAACGACGUUCUAAAGACUGUUGACAUCUAGUGGAAGCCUUAGGAAGUGUAAUAUGACCCCAUUUACACUGUAUAGAUUUCCCACUUCCUGGUGGGAUUUUUCUCAGGUUUUCGCCUGCCAUAUGCUACUCAGACAUCAUUCAAACAGUUUUAGAAACUUCAGUGUUUUCUAUCCAAUACUACUAAUAAUAUGCAUAUAUUAGCAUCUGGGCCAGAGUAGCAGGCAGUUUACUCUGGGCACCUUAUUCAUCCAAGCUACUCAAUACUGCCCCCCCCUGUCACCAAGAAGUUAAACAAAUCUACUAUGAAACAAGAGUAUACACCUCACACAUGGUUAUGGGCUUUAAAAAAAUACCUGUACCAUAUUAGAAAUACAUUUGAAAUGUAUUCAAUUUUGAGUUUGCAUCCCAAUAUUACAGUUUAUAUACAUCAAAGAAGACAAACAUUACAAAACCAUAGAAACACAGAAUUUUCGGCGGGUUUUUGAAAUAAUGUUUAAUGAUAAAAGAUAUGAAUAACAUUCCACCCAUGAGUCCAUUUAGAUGGAGAUUUGGUCAUUUGACUGCAGGAAAGGGCUACUUGUAGUCUUUUAUGCCACAUUGCUCAGGACUUUAUUGGAUAGGACCACAUUUCAUGCCAUAAGAGACUCAUAAGGGGUGGGGUUGUAGUGUUGUGUGUCUGACACUUUGGUGCUUUGCAUUUCCUUCCCUGCAAUACUGUUUAACUGAGGGAUGCUUUCUCUCCCCUCCUUUGUAAAAUAACUAACACGUUCUGAUCCCCUUCCACACUGUUCAGCUGAUCAAAGCACUGACACUGCAGUUGACUAACACCUCUCUCUGAUGCCUGCUUCUCCUCAUGCUGUCAGCACUGUCCUUUCUCUUCUCUGUAACCUUGGCAACACUAACGCCUUACUCACCUCCGAUCUCUGACGUCUAACAUGACUAACAAGAUUGAGUCUGCUGAGAUGGCCUUGCUGUUAAUUUCAAUGAUGUGCUCCUAACCAAGCUAGCAGGGAGCAUACCCAUGACAAGCCUGUGCGGAUGGUUUGGUAACAUUAGUCUACCCUAACGUUACAGGAGUGUUGAGGAUGUUAGAGUUGUCAGUGUGUGUAGCUGUGUUGGGGGUAUCUCUCAAUCUUACCACCCUAGUUUUUAGAUGGUUUCCCGAGGCCUGGUUUGUCUUGUGAUUGCUGCAUGUACUGGUAACUCUGAGUAACCUUAGCUGGAGUCGUAAAGAACUAACCAACACUGGGGUAAUCCUGGUUUACUAACCUGGACUAACAGUCUAACAUUCACUAAUCAACCAAACUGAAACCCAAGCACUGGAGAAGUGCCUUGUCUGACUCUCCCUGGUUAAAACCAUCCUUAACCUAAUGGUCUGUUAAAACCACUGUGGGUGUACAUUGUGUGUUUAAGAGUGGGGCUGUUACUGUCAUGAAUAUUCUUAUACUCUGAAACCAAACCCCCAACUGCCAACAGCUCUCUUGUCAUUCCUUAAUAUAUACACUAACAAUAACACUCUAAUACCCAACAGUACUAACGUCUGCUAACAGACCUAUUGUUACUAAUACUCAACUGUACUAUGGAUGAUGUUGGCUGGACUUGUAAUUUCUAACACACUCACUAACCCUUUGCUUUGUGCCCUGAGUCUGAGACAGUCCUCUCACAUUUUCCUGAAACCCUUCUCCGCCAGACACAGAUCACCCAAAAUCAUAUACAAGAACUAUGUAUUUAUCCAUCUGUUGUAACCUUCAGUGUGAUAUGUUUCUUGAGACAUGUUACUUUUGGCCCCCUAAAGCACAAUGGUGAGUGAUUCCAGGAUCUGGGAUGGAAAGCUGGAUCAACCACUAGAUUUAAAGAAAAAGUGCACCUAGGUCGACCACACACUUCUGCUCAGGGUGACGAUUGAUUAAAAAAAAAAAAAAUAUAUAUAUAUAUAUUACAAAUCGUACAGUAACUAUGCUAAAGAAUUGUAUUUCAUUAAAGCUGAAGUAUUCUAUCUUAACAAAUGGCUGACAAAUGUUUGUCCCUCUGUCCAUUGUGUGGCCAACCUCAAAGGUGUUGCAGCUCAGUGCUUGGUUUGCAGUCUGCAUAGACACUGAUGUGUUAUCUUCCAAGAUAAACCAAAGGAAAUAGCAACCCUUUCCUGCUUUACUACUAACUGACUGGUAUACUAACAACCCCAUAUGAGGCCUAACAAUUUGGCCAUUGAUUCAUUGCUCUUACUAACAUACUGUAUCUUCCCACAUAAAACAAUGCUACAUUUUACUAUAGUACAUGUAGUAUCCGUACAUGUACUAUCCGUACAUGUACUACACAUGAUCCAGUAUCCCUGGAUCAUGUGUAGAAAUUACACAUUACAAAUCAUUUCGGUAUACAAUAACCGAAAAGACACUGGUUCGAAUCCCUGAGUCGACAAGGUGAAACACUUAAUCCUAAUUGCUCCUGUAAGUCGCUCUGGAUAAAGAGUCUGCUAAAUGUCUAAAAUGUAGAAUAGUAUACUGCACACUGUAGUAUCCCUUGAUCAUGUAGUGCUUACUAUAUACUUUUGUAGUAUACUAUACUACACACUGUAGUAUCUCUUGACUGUAUAGUGCUUCUAUUGGCUUGUGUAGUAUACUGGUGAAUAAUACACUCCACAUUGUAAUAUCCCUCUAUUGUGUACUGCUAACUAUAUACUGUAGAAUACUAUACUACACACCGUAGUAUCCCUCAUGUGUAGUGCUUACUACAUAUUUUUAUUGUAUACUGUAUAAUACUAGAUUAAAUAAUACAGCAUUAUCUGCAAAAAACACUAGUAAAUACUACAGCAAUGUCCAGUUUAAAACUAUAGUUAUACUAGAUUAUUUUAAUUUGCAUAUGCUUCACAUUCCCAUCCCCCAUACAGUGGUGUAAAGUACUUAAGUAAAAAAUAGUUGAAAGUACUAGUCAAGUAGUUGAGGUAUCUGUACUUUAUUUUACUAUUUAUAUUUUUGACAACUUUUACAUUCCUAAAGAAAAUAAUGUACUUUUUACUCUUUACAUUUUCCCUGACACCCAAAAGUACUUGUUACAUUUGGAAUGCUUAGCAGGACAGGAUAAUUGUCUAUUUCACAAACUUAUCAAGAGAACAUCCCUACUGUCUCUGAUCUGGCGGACUCACUAAACACAUGCUUCAUUAGUAAAUUAUGUCUGAGGGUUGUAGUGUGCCCCUGGCGAUCUGUACAUUUUUUAAAAACUAGACAAUUGUGCCGUCUGGAAUCUUUGUUUAAAAAAAAACUUUUGAUAAAGUAUAUUUAAAACCAAAUACUUUUACUCAAGUAGUAUUUUACUAGGUGACUCUCUUUAGUUUUACUCAAGUAUGAACAUUUUGUGCUUUUCUUCAUCAUUGCCCCAUAUCUCAGUUUGUGCUAACUAUGAGUGAGAUGUCUACAUGCCACGUAUAGACCAUAUAUUGUCUUCCCUACAGAUUAUAAAAAAAUAGAUGCUCUGAACUAUCUGAUCAGACUCCAGUUCUACCUACCUACCUACAGGUUAUGGAACAUUUGCUAUUUUUGCCCAGCAGGUUUCCUCAAGGAGAAAUCCUCCAUUUCUGAGCCUCUCCCGAGUCCAAACAUGAGUUUGCAAAGAUGGGUCAAGAUUGUAAGUACCAAUUGGAUGUCACAAAAAAGGGGUAAAAAGUACAAACAAAUACUACAAAAAACCUCAUAGUAAAUACUAGAGCAAUAUCUGUAAAAACUACAGUAAUUACUAUAGUAUUUACUAUAGUAAUAUUUUCAGUAUUUAUACUGUAGUCAGCUUUACUACUAGAGUUAUGUCCACAAAAACACUACAGUGAACUAUUAUAUACUUCCGUAAAACACUACACUGAAUACGAUAGUAUAUAAAUAUAGAAAUACUACAGUAUUGAGCAUAGUAUACUAUAGUAUUUUUUUCAUAUGUGACUCUUCUUUUAAUCCUGUCACCCACUCCACCCUGCCCCUUGGUGAGAUCAAACAGCAUCUAGAAGGCCAUGCAGUAUAUUGUCUUUACUUCCUGAGUCAUCAUGAGGAUAGACAUCCUUGUGUCCUUGAUCAUAUGACAUUUUACUAACCUCCUGAAAUGGAGUGAGAACACUAACUGUUGGGCGAUCCCACGCCAGUGGGAGCAGAAAAUAUUUUUGUUAUCUCAGAUUGUUCUUUCAAUUCUCACAGAAACUUCAUUGGGAGGAAGGAUGUUUGAAAUGCUUUUAUUUGUAUCACAAACUGUUUGAGAGAAUCAUGAUGAAAGUAAGAAACAUAAAAAGGAAAUAGUCAAACAAAAUAACAACUAUAUACAAGGAGUACCGGUACCGAGUCAAUUUGCAGGGAUACGAGGAAAUUGAGGCAAUAUGUACAGUUGAA